UAACGGUCAAAUGGCAGAGACCGCAUGAGGAGGAGAGCAGGUGCACAAAAGUCAGUUGGUGCUGGUGACUCAGGAGACUGGAUGCAGCUGGGAACUGCUGAACACAGCCAGCCCCGGGAGCAGUGAGAGGAGACAAGUGACAGCCGCUAGGGAGAACCAGCAGAUCUUUACAAGGGGGAGCGCGGUGAGAGUGUGACGCAGCCCAGAGAAGAUGUGGUCGAGAGCCCGGAGUCUGCACGGUACCUGCCAGCUAUCCUUCCAGGCAUUGGGAGGAGAGGAGAUCACACUGAGGGUUAAUCGAGAAUCCAGUUGAUGACCGUUGGAGUGAAUCUGAAACACAAGGAAGAACAGACCGUUGUGAAGGGGGUGCUACCAUAGACAACAAAAGUAGAGAACGAAAAUGGACAGAAAAAGGAUUGUCUCUUCGUUGGCGCACAUUAGAGGAAGAAAAAAUUUUUGUUUAAAAUAUAACUUUUAUUCUUAUUCAAUAAAAAUUGCCUAGCAAAUGAGAAACAUAUCAGUGAAAAAAAUGUGUAAAUAAAUUGUGCACUGUGAGUAAUUAUAUUGUGUGCUUGAAAAAUUAAAAGCUGAUUCACUGUGCUCAAA